rnacentral:lncRNA from 1 species
AUGUCUCUGCCAUGCCCACGGACGGACGCACGGACGCACGGACGGACUCCACAAGGUAGGAAGCCUGCGCCGAGCGCACCGCCGCACCCACCACAGCACACAGGACACACGCGGGCCCCGCGCCCGCCCAGGCACACGCGGCACACACGGCACACACGGCAGGCAGGCCAGGCACACGCAUCCGCAGGACCCGCACCCGCCACGCAGACACGGACGAGCCGCCGCGGUCAAGAUGUUCACCCGCCGCGGUCAAGAUGUAUGUGCCACCGACCCUCGCCCCGCUGGACGGACGGACGGACGCGCGCACGCCGUCAGCGUCCACCGGUCACUGCCGCCGCCCACAGUGAUGUCACCCACGAAAGCACACACGUAGAAGCGGACGCCGUGGUCAAGAUGUCUCUGCCAUCCCCACAGGACGGACGGACGGACUCCACAAGGUAG